rnacentral:rRNA from 1 species
ACUUAUCUCUCUGCCUCUACCUGAUCUCCUCUGAUCUCAAAAACUAAGCAAAAUUAGUCCUGGUUAAUAUGUGUGUGGAAGAUUGCCUGGUAAUACCAGGCACUCUAAGAA